rnacentral:lncRNA from 1 species
GUGACUCUUUCGCCAAUGAAUCGUUUCAAAGAGUAAAUGGGGCUGUCACAUCCAGAUGAGGAUACUGUAUAGGAUUUGACUCUGUCAACAAACCCUAAGCUUUUAGGGAAAGGGAGUGGAUAACAUGUUGGACGAUGUCUACGGGAGUUGACUGCGUGUCUUUCAAUGUGGAAGAUCUUCUGCCUUCAGUCUAUAUGGCUGACUAUGACUAUGCGAGAUGGUUCACCAACUACCUGCAGCUCCUCUUCAUUUGUCAUCCUCUCUAUCCAGCUGCAUCGCAUGUCUUUGAAGUUGUCAAGGCCUGUGGGUACAAGAACACAGCUGCUGUGAGAAGACCAAGUUUGCAAUUGUCAACUUUUCUAUAUGGAAAUUUUCCAAGGGUUUUGUGGUUUUUUUAUUUCCUGUGAUAUUGGCUUUGGGUUGCAUCAGAAUGUAAAAUUUCACCUAAACCUUUCUUCCCCACCUAAAGGUACUAAUGUUAUCAGUCAG